GUUGGUGAACCAGCGGAGGGAUCAUUAUAGAGUUAAGAACUCACUAAACCCACUGUAAACGUACUUAUCUCAGCCCCUCCGGCAGGCGGCCCCAGGGCGGGGCCUCAGCCUACGGCGCCUGCCGAAGGUGGCACAAAUUUUUGCUCUUUCAAGUAAAUCUGAGUCUAAAGACAAAAUAUCAAAAUUUUCAAUUGUGGAUCUCUUGGUUCUG
rnacentral:misc_RNA from 1 species